rnacentral:rRNA from 1 species
GACGAACGCUGGCGGCGUGCCUAAUACAUGCAAGUCGAGCGGACUUUCAAGAAGCUUGCUUUUUGAAAGUUAGCGGCGGACGGGUGAGUAACACGUGGGCAACCUGCCUGCAAGACGGGGAUAACUCCGGGAAACCGGGGCUAAUACCGGAUAAUAUCUUCCUUCGCAUGAAGGAAGGUUGAAAGGCGGCGCAAGCUGCCGCUUGCAGAUGGGCCCGCGGCGCAUUAGCUAGUUGGUGAGGUAACGGCCCACAAAGGCGACGAUGCGUAGCCGACCUGAGAGGGUGAUCGGCCACACUGGGACUGAGACACGGCCCAGACUCCUACGGGAGGCAGCAGUAGGGAAUCUUCCGCAAUGGACGAAAGUCUGACGGAGCAACGCCGCGUGAGCGAAGAAGGUCUUCGGAUCGUAAAGCUCUGUUGUCAGGGAAGAACAAGUACCGUUCGAACAGGGCGGUACCUUGACGGUACCUGACCAGAAAGCCACGGCUAACUACGUG